ensembl:lncRNA
UGCUUGAUAACCACUUCCGCUUUUUUCCACGCAAGUCAACAUUUGCGUUUACCUAGAAAGACAGUAAAGACAUUGUAGAAAGGUUUUUGUCGGUUAAAACUCACGUUUAGGAGAUCGACAGGUUGAGAUAUUUAUGGAGCAUAAUAAUGGAGAUACUUCUAGCUGGUCGAUGCAGCGACGAAUGGAAGGUUUGGUCAACAAACACAUGGCAGACAUAGCACUAGAAACACUCCAACAGAGACUAUCAGCUGUGUCCGACGAAAUGAACCAUCUUGCGGAACAUGUCUCGAGACGCUCGGAGGAUGUUCCCAAGUAUGAUAUUCCAAGACGCACAGAUGUAAACUUUGACGUUGAGUCACUGAGUGCAACAUUUAGCACGGGUGGUGUUGGGGAAAAGUUGGCGAUCCCCGGCACCUCAUCAUCAGCAGAGACGGCUGCCCAGCGUAAAAUCAUCUCCCUGCUGGUGGAGAUUAAGGAGGAGCAGCAGAGACAGUGGGGCGUUUUGAGGCAGAUGCAGGCCAGGGUUCAGGGCCAGAGCUUUCCGGUGGUAGAGGAAGAGGUGGAGGCUCUAGACAUUGAUAUCCCACUGAGGACCAUGGAGCAGCUAGAUGACACAGAGAGGCACCUGGAGGAUGCAGGAGCACAGAAGAGAAUGGUGUCUCACCUGUCACGAAUGGGUGGGGCCACGUUUGAUGAUGCGGUGCGAAGGCUCAUGCAGGCAGUGCUAUCUUUUGCUGUGGGCUCUGAGCUCAACUGGGUGGGCCGAGGCCAGAAAAGGAGCUUCAGAAACACCCGCCUCCAAGGGGUUCUCUUCUGUGCUCUGAAAAGAACCCCAGUGGGCAAAGAGGCCACACAUCACCAGUUUGCAGACGUGGUGAAGAAGUGGCUGCGGUUCGCCCCAUUCAGACAGGGAGGGAGUGGUCGACGGCAUUAUAAACCACCUGUUGACUUCCUGUGUCCAAAGGAAUGUGUAGAUCUGCCUACACAUCAGCCUACACAUCCACAAUCUCCACAAGUCUGGAUCAUCAUUGGGAGC